ensembl:lncRNA
UAAAAUCAGUGCUAUAUUAUAACAGAGAAAAAGGACUGUGGUGGUUCCUUUUACCAAAAACAUAAACAUUCAUAAUGCACUUUUGAUUUUUACCACCGAAUAUAUCAGUGUAUCAAAACGGGAAGCAGAAUCAAUAAAUUCUUUCUAUCCUUAUUCAUUUAGCUUGUAUAGACCUCGCUCGGUAUAAAUGAACCAUCAUGGAUAUCCUAAAUGCUUUGCAUUAUGGGUUAAUUUCUUAUUAGACCAGUGGCUCCAGGAUCUUGGCUUAAGGAAUGGAAAGGACGGUGAGGAAUAGAGGGAGAAGGGAAGGAAAAGAAUGAAAAAAAAAGAGUCAUGGAAGAAAAGAAAACAAACACGCAGGAUAAUAAACGAGAGAGGAGUUCUGUGUUUAAGUUGGACGGGAUGUCUAGCACAAACGGUGGGAAAGGAUGCUGGCUGCAGCAGGAGGAAAAACAGGACGAAAUAGAAAAAAAUAAGGAGGUGAAACAACUUAAUGUGAUUGUAAUCAAAGCAUCACUUUGUUUAGCAGCUUGGCAUUCUGUCGCUGAUGUGGCACCGCUUCGAAAAGCAUCAUUAAAGCCAUUAACUUUCAUAAUUUCCCCAAUUUUCUUUAUUUCAAAUAUAAACAGUCUCCAGUCAGCCAAGCGCUCUGAGACCUCCCGUUUCACAGGGAGCUAUCAGAUGAAUGCUGGGAUAUCUUAG